rnacentral:rRNA from 1 species
GAUGAACGCUGACAGAAUGCUUAACACAUGCAAGUCGAUGGGGAAGUGGUGCUUGCACCAUGGUAACCAUGGCGGACGGGUGAGUAACGCGUAAGGAACUUGCCUGCGGGACUGGGAUAACAGCAGGAAACUGCUGAUGAUACCGGAUAAGGUCAUUAAGCUGCAUAGCUUAGUGAUGAAAGGAGACGCCUGCGGAGAGCCUUGCGUCCUAUUAGCUAGUUGGAGGGGUAACGGCCCACCAAGGCGAAGAUAGGUAGCCGGCCUGAGAGGGUGGACGGCCACAAGGGGACUGAGAUACGGCCCUUACUCCUACGGGAGGCAGCAGUGGGGAAUAUUGGACAAUGGGGGCAACCCUGAUCCAGCAAUUCUGUGUGCACGAAGACGGUUUUCGGAUUGUAAAGUGCUUUCAGCAGGGAAGAAGGAAGUGACGGUACCUGCAGAAGAAGCGACGGCUAAAUACGUG